AUUGAACGCUGGCGGCAGGCCUAACACAUGCAAGUCGAACGAGUGGCGGACGGGUGUGUAACGUCUGUGAAACGGCCUGUUGGCGGGGGAUAAUUACUGGAAACGGUAGCUAUUACCGCAUACCUUCAGAUGUGCCCAGAGGGGAUUAGCUUGUUGGUGGGGUAACGGCUCACCAGGGCGACGAUCCCUAGCUGGUUGGAGAGGGUGACCGGCCCACCGGGAACGGAGACACGGUCCAGACCCCUAUGGGAGGCAGCAUGGGGGAAUAUUGCACAAUGGGGGCAAGCCGGAUGCAGCAAGGCCGCGUGGUGGAAGAAGGCCUUCGGGUUGUAAAGUACUUUCAGCGGGGAGGCGUUACCCAAAGAAGAAGCACCGGCUAACUCCGUGCCAGCAGCCGCGGUAAUUC
rnacentral:rRNA from 1 species